rnacentral:rRNA from 1 species
UACGUAGGGUGCGAGCGUUGUCCGGAAUUAUUGGGCGUAAAGGGCUCGUAGGCGGUUUGUCGCGUCGGGAGUGAAAACACCGGGCUUAACUCGGUGCUUGCUUUCGAUACGGGCAGACUAGAGGUAUGCAGGGGAGAACGGAAUUCCUGGUGUAGCGGUGAAAUGCGCAGAUAUCAGGAGGAACACCGGUGGCGAAGGCGGUCUCUGGGCAUUACCUGACGCUGAGGAGCGAAAGCGUGGGGAGCGAACAGG